UACGAAGGGGGCUAGCGUUGCUCGGAAUUACUGGGCGUAAAGGGCGCGUAGGCGGAUAGUUUAGUCAGAGGUAAAAGCCCAGGGCUCAACCUUGGAACUGCCUUCGAUACUGGCUAUCUUGAGUACGGGAGAGGUGUGUGGAACUCCGAGUGUAGAGGUGAAAUUCGUAGAUAUUCGGAAGAACACCAGUGGCGAAGGCGACACACUGGCCCGUUACUGACGCUGAGGCGCGAAAGCGUGGGGAGCAAACAGG
rnacentral:rRNA from 1 species